rnacentral:rRNA from 1 species
GACAGAGGGUGCAAGCGUUGUUCGGAAUCAUUGGGCGUAAAGCGCACGUAGGCGGUCGUGUAAGUCAGACGUGAAAGCCCAGGGCUCAACCCUGGAAGUGCAUCUGAUACUGCACGACUUGAGUCUCGGAGAGGGUGGUGGAAUUCCUGGUGUAGAGGUGAAAUUCGUAGAUAUCAGGAGGAACACCGGUGGCGAAGGCGACCACCUGGACGAAGACUGACGCUGAGGUGCGAAAGCGUGGGGAGCAAACAGG